AGGUUUUAACCUUUAAAAUUAAGAAAAUGAUGUCCUUAUUUCUAGCAAGUGGCAUUGAUGAUUAUGUGGAAUUUGAAGAGCUCCCAGCUGGAGAGUAAGAGGAGCCCAACGCCUCCAGAGAAGGUGACGAGUUCAUCUCAAAGCUUAUGUAAAAUGAAGCCGAUUGUCCAUUGACUGUGAUCUUUGCUCUGUUAGCCACAGCUCUCUAAGAAGAUUCUGAGCUUCUGCAGAAGCCUACUAUUCCAUCAUAGGAGUUUGAGUAAUUGGAAAACACUAGUGAACCACAGAAUAUACGCAGCUGAGGAUGCACACAGUGACGAGAAUGGUCCACAGACAGAGGGUGCACCUUUCCUAACCACAUCCCAUUGAACACAGGAUCAAUAAAUGCAUAUUUGAAAUGAA